rnacentral:ncRNA from 1 species
GCUCAGUACGUAUUACUACCAUGGUAGAUAAAUAUGUUUAGUUUACUUUGUUUUUUUUCGCUUAUUUAUUACAUUAAAGAAGAAUGGCAUAUUUAAUUAAAGUCAAGAAGAUAAAACGGCAAAACUACAGCAGUUAAAACCAUUGUUACACCAACAACAGUCAUUAUUCCGUGAAAUAAUGGAAUAGGACCUCGGUUCUAUUUUAGCGCGAGGUAAUGAUUAAGAGGGACAGACGGGGGCAUUCGUACUGUGCCGUUAGAGGUGAAAUUCUUGGAUCGGCGCAAGACGAACGACUGCAAAAGCAUUUGCCAAGAAUGUUUUCUUUAAUCAAGAGC